AUUGAACGCUGGCGGCAGGCUUAACACAUGCAAGUCGAGCGGGGUGAUGGUGCUUGCACCUUAUCUUAGCGGCGGACGGGUGAGUAAUGCUUAGGAAUCUGCCUAUUAGUGGGGACCACAUUCCCAAAGGAAUGCUAAUACCGCAAUCGUCCCACGGGAGAAAGCAGGGGAACUUUCGGCCCUGCGCUAAUAGAUGGGACCAAGGUCGGAUUAGCUAGUUGGUGGGGUAAAGGCCUACCAAGGGGACGAUCUGUAGCGGGUCUGAGAGGAUGAUCCGCCACACUGGGACUGAGACACGGCCCAGACUCCUACGGGAGGCAGCAGUGGGGAAUAUUGGACAAUGGGGGGAACCCUGAUCCAGCCAUGCCGCGUGUGUGAAGAAGGCCUUAUGGUUGUAAAGCACUUUAAGCGAGGAGGAGGCUACUGAGACUAAUACUCUUGGAUAGUGGACGUUACUCGCAGAAUAAGCACCGGCUAACUCUGUGCCAGCCGCCGCAGUAA
rnacentral:rRNA from 1 species